rnacentral:rRNA from 1 species
UUAAGCGACUAAGCGUACACGGUGGAUGCCCUGGCAGUCAGAGGCGAUGAAGGACGUGCUAAUCUGCGAAAAGCGUCGGUAAGGUGAUAUGAACCGUUAUAACCGGCGAUGUCCGAAUGGGGAAACCCAGUGCAAUUCGUUGCACUAUCGUUAACUGAAUACAUAGGUUAACGAGGCGAACCGGGGGAACUGAAACAUCUAAGUACCCCGAGGAAAAGAAAUCAACCGAGAUUCCCCCAGUAGCGGCGAGCGAACGGGGAGCAGCCCAGAGUCUGAAUCAGCUUGUGUGUUAGUGGAACGGUCUGGAAAGUCCGACGGUACAGGGUGAUAGUCCCGUACACCAAAAUGCACAGGUUGUGAACUCGAAGAGUAGGGCGGGACACGUGGUAUCCUGUCUGAAUAUGGGGGGACCAUCCUCCAAGGCUAAAUACUCCUGACUGACCGAUAGUGAACCAGUACCGUGAGGGAAAGGCGAAAAGAACCCCGGCGAGGGGAGUGAAAAAGAACCUGAAACCGUGUACGUACAAGCAGUGGGAGCACCUUCGGGUGUGACUGCGUACCUUUUGUAUAAUGGGUCAGCGACUUAUAUUCUGUAGCAAGGUUAACCGUAUAGGGGAGCCGCAGGGAAACCGAGUCUUAACUGGGCGUUAAGUUGCAGGGUAUAGACCCGAAACCCGGUGAUCUAGCCAUGGGCAGGUUGAAGGUUGGGUAACACUAACUGGAGGACCGAACCGACUAAUGUUGAAAAAUUAGCGGAUGACUUGUGGCUGGGGGUGAAAGGCCAAUCAAACCGGGAGAUAGCUGGUUCUCCCCGAAAGCUAUUUAGGUAGCGCCUCGUGAAUUCAUCUUCGGGGGUAGAGCACUGUUUCGGCUAGGGGGUCAUCCCGACUUACCAACCCGAUGCAAACUACGAAUACCGAAGAAUGUUAUCACGGGAGACACACGGCGGGUGCUAACGUCCGUCGUGAAGAGGGAAACAACCCAGACCGCCAGCUAAGGUCCCAAAGUCAUGGUUAAGUGGGAAACGAUGUGGGAAGGCACAGACAGCCAGGAUGUUGGCUUAGAAGCAGCCAUCAUUUAAAGAAAGCGUAAUAGCUCACUGGUCGAGUCGGCCUGCGCGGAAGAUGUAACGGGGCUAAACCAUGCACCGAAGCUGCGGCAGCGACACUAUGUGUUGUUGGGUAGGGGAGCGUUCUGUAAGCCUGCGAAGGUGGCCUGUGAGGGUUGCUGGAGGUAUCAGAAGUGCGAAUGCUGACAUAAGUAACGAUAAAGCGGGUGAAAAGCCCGCUCGCCGGAAGACCAAGGGUUCCUGUCCAACGUUAAUCGGGGCAGGGUGAGUCGACCCCUAAGGCGAGGCCGAAAGGCGUAGUCGAUGGGAAACAGGUUAAUAUUCCUGUACUUGGUGUUACUGCGAAGGGGGGACGGAGAAGGCUAUGUUAGCCGGGCGACGGUUGUCCCGGUUUAAGCAUGUAGGCUGGUUGUCCAGGCAAAUCCGGAUAAUCAAGGCUGAGGUGUGAUGACGAGGCACUACGGUGCUGAAGUAACAAAUGCCCUGCUUCCAGGAAAAGCCUCUAAGCAUCAGGUAACAUCAAAUCGUACCCCAAACCGACACAGGUGGUCAGGUAGAGAAUACCAAGGCGCUUGAGAGAACUCGGGUGAAGGAACUAGGCAAAAUGGUGCCGUAACUUCGGGAGAAGGCACGCUGGUGUGUAGGUGAAGUCCCUGCGGAUGGAGCUGAGACCAGUCGAAGAUACCAGCUGGCUGCAACUGUUUAUUAAAAACACAGCACUGUGCAAACACGAAAGUGGACGUAUACGGUGUGACGCCUGCCCGGUGCCGGAAGGUUAAUUGAUGGGGUUAUCCGUAAGGAGAAGCUCUUGAUCGAAGCCCCGGUAAACGGCGGCCGUAACUAUAACGGUCCUAAGGUAGCGAAAUUCCUUGUCGGGUAAGUUCCGACCUGCACGAAUGGCGUAAUGAUGGCCAGGCUGUCUCCACCCGAGACUCAGUGAAAUUGAACUCGCUGUGAAGAUGCAGUGUACCCGCGGCAAGACGGAAAGACCCCGUGAACCUUUACUAUAGCUUGACACUGAACAUUGAGCCUUGAUGUGUAGGAUAGGUGGGAGGCUUUGAAGCGUGGACGCCAGUCUGCGUGGAGCCAACCUUGAAAUACCACCCUUUAAUGUUUGAUGUUCUAACGUUGGCCCCUUACCGGGGUUGCGGACAGUGUCUGGUGGGUAGUUUGACUGGGGCGGUCUCCUCCCAAAGCGUAACGGAGGAGCACGAAGGUUAGCUAAUCCUGGUCGGACAUCAGGAGGUUAGUGCAAUGGCAUAAGCUAGCUUGACUGCGAGCGUGACGGCGCGAGCAGGUGCGAAAGCAGGUCAUAGUGAUCCGGUGGUUCUGAAUGGAAGGGCCAUCGCUCAACGGAUAAAAGGUACUCCGGGGAUAACAGGCUGAUACCGCCCAAGAGUUCAUAUCGACGGCGGUGUUUGGCACCUCGAUGUCGGCUCAUCACAUCCUGGGGCUGAAGUAGGUCCCAAGGGUAUGGCUGUUCGCCAUUUAAAGUGGUACGCGAGCUGGGUUUAGAACGUCGUGAGACAGUUCGGUCCCUAUCUGCCGUGGGCGCUGGAGAAUUGAGGGGGGCUGCUCCUAGUACGAGAGGACCGGAGUGGACGCAUCACUGGUGUUCGGGUUGUCAUGCCAAUGGCACUGCCCGGUAGCUAAAUGCGGAAGAGAUAAGUGCUGAAAGCAUCUAAGCACGAAACUUGCCCCGAGAUGAGUUCUCCCUGAGACUUUAAGUCUCCUGAAGGAACGUUGAAGACGACGACGUUGAUAGGCCGGGUGUGUAAGCGCAGCGAUGCGUUGAGCUAACCGGUACUAAUGAACCGUGAGGCUUAACCUU